GGAAAUGCCAAGUCAGCAUGACUGGGCCUUAGCAACCCCUCUCUUCCACCUUUUGGACCCUGCUUAUCUCUCUCCCUUAAAGGUUCUCGGCAAAUUAAUUUGCCCUUUAAUGCACUUAACACCAAUAACGCUUACCAUCCAUGGGCUGUGUGCUGGUUGGAAAAAUCAUGGCUCUUUCCUUGUCCUCUGUUCACCCAAAGGAAGAUACUCUAAAAUCUCCUUUCCAGUUGCAAGGGAGAAAGAGAGAUGGCCCUCGAAGAAGACUCAUUUGACUUAGCAGCUAUCCUACAAAGCACAGCUUCUGCCCUCUGAAAUGACUACUUCUAGAGGCAAGAGAGAGACACCCACUAGAGGAUGCUUCAGACAAGAUGUUUAACAGUAAAAUAGCUAAAAGUUCAGCCUACUCCCAGCUAUUGCUUCAGGAUAUUUAUAAAAAACAUCCAAAAAACAUCAGCCGAUUAAACCUGGUGGCAAAUGUCUGGGUUCUCCACAGCUGCUGGCAGGUGCAGAGGAUGUCUGUGCAGUGCAGACCCUGACCCCUCAAUACUAUCAGAUAUGGAUGUGGUCUGGGAGCAAAAUUAGUAGCUGUAGACCUACCAGUUAUUGUCUUCUCCAUUUUAUUCCUCUAAAUUGCUCUAAGUACUCUGCUUGGAAUGCCACAGUAAUACAGAGCUUAUUACUGGGCCUUUAUUAAUCCCUUUUGGCAAUUCCUUUACUGCAUUUUCUACCUUAAGACAGGUAGAAGAAGCAACUGACAGCCAGUAAACUGUGGCAAUUUUCAGGGAGUCUGUGACUCCUGAAAUGAUCAUUGUCAGUUGGUUCAAAUUACAAAAAUCUUUAGGCUAUACUGCCAGUAUCUGGAUUUUCCAGGUUCUGAGAAAAAAAAAAAUCAAGGCUAUUUUCUUCUCUUCUCAUCAAAAAAAAAGGAAAAUUUAUCCCUGUAGGUUAGAUUAAGACAAAAAAAAGAAAAGCAAUAAAACAAAACCAAAUUUCUCAUUAUUUUUUUUCAUAUGAGAAAGACAUCAAAAUCAUAAUUAGUUAUGUUAGAAUCUUUUAGAUAUGGUCUCCAGGACUGUGGAGAAACAAACAGAGAUGUGUAUGGCAUCAUACAACUCACACCAAGGUCUCAGCUUGCUCCAAACACUAUCCCAUCAACCCUGAUUCACAAAGGCAGUCCAAUAGAUGGAGUCCUAAAAUAAUUUCUGAUUGUUCAGUAUUUCAUCUCAAGUUACAUUCUCUGAGAAAUAAGUUUUAAACUCAUAGCAGGGCUAUAACAUUACUGACACUAUGAAGAUAUGCUGGGAUGACUUCUAUGACUGUUGUGUUGGAAUGGAAGGAUACAGCUCUUUAGGAAGGACAGGUGGGGGUAAUAAGUGGAUGGAGCUGCCUUCUACAUCAAUGAGCAGCUGGAGGGCCUUGGGCUCCACAUGGGAAAGGAAGAGAUGAUUGAGAGUUUCUGAGUGAGGAUUGAAGGGAGAGCAGGGACAAGUGAUAUUGUAGGUGAGUCUGCUACAGGCUGUAGUCUGCCUGACCAGGAAGGCUGAGUGGAUGAGGACCUCUAUGGACAGGCAAGAGUGGCCCCACAUUCACAAGCCUGGUCCCCAUGGGGGACUUUAAAAUAGUUCUUGAAGGGACAACGCAGUGGGACAUAACUUUUCCAAGUGCUAGGGAAGCCUACAAGGAGAGCUGCUAUGCUGGACUGUUUUCUCACUAGCAUGGAGGGAGGGGGUGGUGGAGAAUGUGAAGAUCAAGGGCAGCCUGGGCUGCAGAGACUGAAAUAGCAAAGUCCAUCCUAAGAUACUCAGGAGAGCAGGGAGUUUGCAUAGCAAGCUCCCUACCUGGACUUUCAUGGAUGGCAAGAGUAACAAGAAAUGUUUCUCUGGGUACGUUGGUGACUAAGUGAAGACUAGGGAAAAUAGGUUCUGUCCAGAAGGAAAUGGGAAACUGAUUUACCUGGGAUAUAGAAAAGGCUGAAGUACUCAAAGUUUUUGCUUCAGUCUUCACUGGCAAAUGUUCCAGCCAUGCUGCCCAAGUCACAGAAGGUAAAAGCAGGGACUGGGAAAAUGAAGAACUUUCUACUGUAUAAGAUCAGAUCUGAAACCAUUUAAGAAGGCAUGCAAGUCCAUGAGACCUUAUGAGAUGCAUCCAUGAGUUCUGAGGGAAGAGGCAGAGAAGGUGGCUAAGAUACCACCCGCUAUACUUGAGAAGUUGUGGCAUUUCAGUAUAGAAAAAGGGCUUAUGUGAAAGAUGGAGAGAAACUUUUUACCGAGGUCUGUAGUGACAGGACAAGGGGCAACAGUUUUAUCCUAAAGAAGGUAGAUUUGGAUUGAACAUAAGGAAGAAAUUGCUCACUAUAAGGGUGAUGAGACACUGCACCAGGCUGCCAGGAGAAGUUGUGCAUGUCCCAUCUCUGGAAGCAUUCAAAACCAGUUUGGAUGGGGACCAGGCCAACUUGAUCUAGUGGGUGGCAUCCCUGCCCACGGCAGGGGGAUUGGAACUAUUGGAACCACAUGACCUUUAAUUUGCAUUCUAAUUCAAAUCAGUCUAUGAUUCUACAAUAA